CUUAACACAUGCAAGUCGAAGGAGAAGGUAGCUGCUUGCAGCUACUGGAGACUGGCGGACGGGUGAGUAACGCGUAGAUAACCUGCCUAUAUCUGGGGGAUAACAUCUCGAAAGGGGUGCUAAUACCGCAUAAUGCAGCGGGGCCGCAUGGCCACAGUUGUUAAAGGUUUCGGCCGGAUAUAGAGGGGUCUGCGUACUAUUAGUUAGUUGGUGAGGUAACGGCUCACCAAGGCGAUGAUAGUUAGGGGGUCUGAGAGGAUGAUCCCCCACACUGGGACUGAGACACGGCCCAGACUCCUACGGGAGGCAGCAGUGAGGAAUCUUGCGCAAUGGGCGAAAGCCUGACGCAGCCACGCCGCGUGCCGGAAGACGGCCCUAUGGGUUGUAAACGGCUUUUGAAUGGGAAGAACGAGAGGGUUUCGAUCUUCUGUGACGGUACCAUUUGAAUAAGCACCGGCUAACUCCGUGCCAGCAGCCGCGGUAAUACGGAGGGUGCAAGCGUUGUCCGGAAUCAUUGGGUGUAAAGGGUGCGUAGGCGGGAGCCUAAGUCUGUGGUGAAAUCUUGCCGCUUAACGGUAAAAUUGCCAUAGAUACUGGGUUUCUUGAGUACAGAAGAGGUCGGUGGAAUUCGUAGUGUAGCGGUGAAAUGCAUAGAUAUUACGAAGAACACCAGUGGCGAAGGCGGCCGGCCGGACUGUAACUGACGCUGAGGCACGAAAGCGU
rnacentral:rRNA from 1 species